AGCGCAACUGACGCUCAUGCUCGAAAGUGCGGGUAUCGAACAGGAUUAGAUACCCUGGUAGUCCGCACGGUAAACGAUGGAUGCCCGCUAUUUGUCCAUUAGGAUAAGUGGCCAAGUGAAAACGUUAAGCAUCCCACCUGGGGAGUACGCCGGCAACGGUGAAACUCAAAGGAAUUGACGGGGGCCCGCACAAGCGGAGGAACAUGUGGUUUAAUUCGAUGAUACGCGAGGAACCUUACCCGGGCUUGAAUUGUGAGAGAAGGAUCCAGAGAUGGUGACGCCCUUCGGGGCUCUCAUGAAGGUGCUGCAUGGUUGUCGUCAGCUCGUGCCGUGAGGUGUCGGCUUAAGUGCCAUAACGAGCGCAACCCCUCUCUUCAGUUGCCAUCAGGUUAAGCUGGGCACUCUGGAGACACUGCCACCGUAAGGUGUGAGGAAGGUGGGGAUGACGUCAAAUCAGCACGGCCCUUACGUCCGGGGCUACACACGUGUUACAAUGGGUGGUACAGAGAGUUGGGUGCCCGCAAGGUCACUCUAAUCAAUAAAUCCAUCCUCAGUUCGGACUGGGGUCUGCAACCCGACCCCACGAAGCUGGAUUCGCUAG
rnacentral:rRNA from 1 species